AAGGGAAUACCGGGGCCGCGUCCCGUCCUCCCACCCAUGAAUACGCGAGGCCGAUCAUCGAGUUACUUCGGCGGAUCUUUUCGCCGCCGAGCAACCGUUCAAAACCCUAUUUCAACGUGUCGUCUGAGAAGAAAACACAACGAAUCA
rnacentral:misc_RNA from 1 species